AGGGUCGGCCAGGCGGUCGCGUCACCGAAAGGUGCCGAGGAACGUCCGGGCUCCACAGAGCAGGAUGGUGGGUAACACCCACCCGGAGUAAUCCGCGAGACAGUGCCACAGAAAAUAGACCGCCCGCAAGGGUAAGGGUGAAACGGUGGUGUAAGAGACCACCAGCGGUCAAGGUGACUUGGCCGGCUAGGUAAACCUCGUCCGGAGCAAGACCAUGCAGAUGCCGUUGACGCUGCUCGCCGAGGCAUCGGGUAGGUUGCUAGAACGGCGCGGCAACGCGCCGUCGAGAUAGAUGACCGUCCACGACAGAACCCGGCGUAUCGGCCGGCCCCUCAA
rnacentral:RNase_P_RNA from 1 species